AAAAAUUGUUGAACGUGAGCACACCAACCAAACAACAGUUCUAAUAUGCAGAAUGAUCAAAAUCGAUUUCCUAAAUAACCUCACUCAGAUCCCUCUUGUUGCAAGAUCACUUAGUACUUUCCUAAGGUGAUGAAUAUUACUUUCACUGUUCUCUAAGGUAAAAACACUCAGAUCCCUCUUGUUGUGCCUAUCUAAGCUUGACACACCUCACCCAAUCCCUUGGUCUAAGAAUGUAUCAAAACUUGCAUUAAGAAUCAGAACAAUGGGUGGCCAAACUCACAAUCCCAUCCCUGGUGAUUUGCAAAAUCUGGGUUGAUUUAGCUAGUUUGACUGCUGAAAUCCCAUCCCUAGGAUCUUCCAACAACUAGAUCAUGUUCUAAGGCGUACCCCGAAACAAGCUUUAAGUACAAAUCAAACCAUUGGAAAGUAUAAACAUCUGUAGUCACAAUUGCAUACACAACAACAUUCAAAAGGAAAAUUCACAACAAAGUCUAAAAGAGUCACAAAUGUUCAAAUUGCCUUGUGUUGGAACACAAGUCCCCGGCAACGGCGCCAAAAACUUGAUAACUUUUUGGCAAGUAUACCAAAUCGUUACAAGUAAUACAGUGGAUAAGUAAAGUAUCGUUCUCCCAAGGGACUUGUGCAACACCUGACAAUUCUUCCUUUUAUAACUCAAUUAGACAUCAAAAUACACAAAACACUACAAGAAACACAGUUGGUGUGCCAGGAAUUGGUCUUUGACUCACAUUACAGUAACAUCCUGAUAAAAUACGUUCUCUGUUCAAGUAUUCACAUAAGCGUAUCUUGAUUUAAUUCCUUAAAGCAAGUUCUAAAAUUAUCUAUUAAAUUAUUAAUUCCUUAAUUAAUUCAACAGAUAAUUUUGCAUUAAAAUCGGAUGUUUAGAAUGACCAAAAGUACAAAAGCUAUUCCUAGCAUCGUUCCUUUUAGUUUCUUUUCUUACGUUUCUGGUUCUAAAAAUACUUCCCAGUACAAAAGAACCUUUAAAAAAAAUUAUACUUCCGUAUAAUCUAAAGCAAGUCAAGAAAAGAACAAGAACAAGAACAUAUAUUGCACAGGAAAUUUACAUUAAUGUAUUGUCAUACAACCAAUUCCAUUGAACAGAAAAACUAGCCUCUCCUAGACAUCUAAAACGUACUCUUUACAGCAAUUCCUUGCAGAAAGUGAAGUCUUGNUGUCUUGAAGGGUCUCCUGACGGUCUUCUCCAGUUCUCCAGAGCGUUUUUCUAUUUUUCGUGUCAGGAGCCCGUUUCUGCCUGUCUCUCACGUCUCUUUAAGAACCAGUUAAUUUUCAUUAACUUUCACCAUUCGCUCAGCGCACAGAGGCAGAUUCGCUGUGUGAAUUUCAUUUUCUGGUUGCUCUUCAACUGCUGCCAUUCGCUUAGCGCACAUAGUCUGGUGCGCUCUGCGAGAAUUGGCUGACAGCUUCCCAUUUAUACAUCUUUUCCUGAACAAUAUUUUACGAAACAAUCUACUUCCUAUUACAACUUUUCACUGAGUAAUAACAUGAAUAAUUAUAAAAUUGAGAUCAUUUAUAAGUGUAAAAAUAACUCAUUUUCACACUUAUCAAGGAGGAGUGGGAGAGUUUCCCAACACCCCAAACAGCCUCCAAGGGCCUCUCACAGUCUCUCUAGGUAAAGAAUGAAGUGUUGGAGGAGAAGUCCCUCAAAAAUUGCGAGACCCACGUUUAAAUAACCCAUUUUGACAUAUCAGCAAAAAUUCCCGCCUAGCUCGGAUUCCUGGCGCCCAGCGCGACUUUUCACUGCAUCAGAAGUGAGUUACAGGAAGUUUUCGCGCCCAGCGCCACUUUCUGGCGCCCAGCCCCAUUCUCUAGCGCCCAGCCCCAUUCUGUGGCGCCCAGCCUGGAAUCUCUCUGCAACUCUGGCGCCCAGCUUGGAAUUCUGGUGCCCAGCUUGGAUUUCUCUGCAACUCUAGCGCCCUGCUUGGAUUUCUGGCGCCCAGCUCGGGGGUUUUGACAGCAUUCAAAAUUGAGGCUCUUGUGCGAUUCCAAAGGCGUCCAACAUGGGUAUUUGCUUCAAAUUGAUCUUUUAUUGUCCCAAAACAUGUUCCCUUGAGUUCUUGCUUGUUUUCCUCCACUAGAAUUGCUUCCUAUUUCUUUACUUUACACACUCAAACAUAGAGAUUAGAGGUAAAAACAAGCAUAUACUAAAUAAACACAAGAAAUCUAGAAAACAUAUUAAAUGUGAGGAUAAAACAAAGUAAAAGCUAUGAAGGAGUUGAUUUUGCCACUAAAAUGAUGCUUAAAUAAUGGUAAGAAUUAGCAUUAUCAAACUCCCCCAAACUUACAACUUUGCUUGUCCUCAAGCAAAAGUACUUCACCUAGUAAACAAUUCAAUUAUACUAGUCUAGCAACUCAAGUACGUUUAAAUCAAAUAAACAAAAUCAAUCAUGCUUGCUCAGCUUAGAAAUUACAUUCACGAGACAAUAUGGUUUUAGCAAGCUAAACUUCAAUCAUGGUGCUCAUAUUUCAAGAUCACAAGGUAGAUGCAAAUGAUAGAUCAACAAACGUGGCAAGAUGCUUUCAUUGACUGCGUGGACCCAAUCCUCACCGGAGAAAGUGUUUCACUCAAGCACAAUGGUGUAUAAGGAUGUGUGUUUAACUCUCCACUAUCACAGUAUUACACAAAUCAAAUUUGCCAUUUGUUUCAACAAUAUCAAACACAUUCACAAGCAAGUUAGCAUCACAAGGACUUUUUAGCGCUUGUAAUGUGGUUGGGCUAAGAAGAAAAUUUGGUUUUUCUGGACAACAAAGCACCUUGAGCUAAGAGAGAAAACAAUUUACUUCAUGAUAUAACAUUAGUCUCUCUUUUUGCUUCACAAUUGGAUAAACCACUUCUCAACUCAUUUCCCAACUCUUGUUCAUUGAAUGCAUUUUUAUUUCUUUUCUUCUUCUUUCUUCUUUUUCUUUCUUUUUGACUCAUAUUAUUAUUUUCUCAAUGCUCCCUUAUUUCAUAAACUCCCCCAAACUUAAAUCAUUCUCCUCAUCCUAACAUAUAUGCUCAUCUCAACUCAAGGUAAGGAUGUUAAGGAUUUUUCAAUAAGCUUAAGGUUCCAGGGAUGAGAAAGUUUUUCUUCAAGGUUCAAAGGUUUUGCAUUGGCUUUUAGGCUCAAAAAUGUAGAUGAAGUUGAACAACAAGAUGGCCUUGAUCAUUUGUAACAGCAAGCAAAUAGUUCAAAUAGAGAGAAACUCAGGAAAAAUAAACUGUGAAUUCAAAGUAAUAGAACUCAACAAUAAACUUUGGGGCACAACAUCUCACAGGUUUACUCAGGGUUCCAUUGUUUGAUAAACAUCAUGCCAAGAAUAUUGAUCGCAAUUAAAACCAAGCAUUUAUCUAAACAGAUACAAGCAACCACAAUUUNUGUUCAACAAGCUCAACCACAUCAUCUCAAUCAGAUAUUCAAAACAAUUCAANUGUAUAAUGAGCAAACACAAGAGAUUUGUAUUCAAUUCAAGCAUAGCAUAUGAUUCACUCAAAUCACCAGACUAAUUGCAAAAGAAUUAUCCACUAAGCAAGUCAAAAAGAAAUCUAAAACACUAAAACUGGGAAGUCUUUGUGUGCGUUUGGGAAGAGANUGAGUAAGUGGGAUGGUUGGGCAGAGACAAGAGUGGAGAGGGGGCCAGUCUCAAAACCACUUUUCUGCAGAAUCCACGCCCGGGUGCCCUGUAAAAGGCGCCUGAGAGCGAAAAUUAAAUUGGGAUGCAGAAAAAAUUGGCGCUGGGCGCCAUAUAGGCCGCGCUGGGCGCGAGCUUUAAAAUGGAAACCAGCGAAAAAUGGCGUUGGGCGCCAGUUCUGCAUAUUUUCUGCAGAAUUAUGAAGAACUGAGAUUUGGUCCAACUCAACUUUGACUUUUGAUUUUUGACACUUUUAAACACUCAAUUCAGCCCAGAUCAAUGUGUUUCCAUUAUACAAACUUGUUCAAAUCUAUCUAGAGUGAAAUUGAGUGCAAGAAUAGCAAAUCAAAUGUCCACUUCCAAGGCUUUUCAACUCUCCAAUUCAAGAUUUAGAAUUUUUGACAAUAAAAGCACAAGACACAUACCUCAACUCAUCAAACUAACUUAAAACAUGCACUAACACACCAGCAUACAUCAAGGCUGGGUGAAGCACUCGUAAUCAUCACAGAUGAGUACUAUACUCAACAAACCACCAAUGCACACAAGCUCCACAACAAAAGCACAAGUACUAAAACAACUAAUUACCACACACAACAUAUCGAACCUUUUUCAACAAUCAAAACACACAAAAAGAAAAUAAAAAGGGAAAGAAAACGCAAACUCUUUUUGGGCGGACUGACUUGUUGCUCAAAUUCCUCAGCUCCUUGUGUAUUCUUCUUCAUUAACGUUCAUACCUUUUGCUUGCAAGAACACCAAGAAACUCGAACAAACACGUUAGUCCAAUUUUAAUAUAAACCAAGUUUUGAGAAUUGAAAAUUGAAAAACAUAAAGAUAAAAACAAAAGUAACAUAUAGAGAAGUGAAAAAGAAAAAAUGAAAAACACAUACAAAGAGACAAUGAAAAGAAGAAACAAAGCUUGCAUAACAUGAACACAUCAACCAAACAACAAUUCUAAUAUGCAGAAUGAUUGAAGUGGAUUUCCUAAAUAACCUCACUCAGAUCCCUCUUGUUGCAAGAUCACUUAGUACUCUCCUAGGGUGAUGAAUACUACUUUCCCUGUUCUCUAAUGUAAAAACACUCAGAUCCCUCUUGUUGCGCCUAUCUAAGCUUGACACACCUCA
rnacentral:lncRNA from 1 species